CUGAAAAUAAACCUCUCAGCAGAUUUCGAUCGACUGGGUACAUAUGCUAACCUCAGUAUCCAUACAUCCCCCAUAAAAUAUAAACAUACAUGUUUAUUUAUUAACAAACAUAUUUAAUUAGAACAUUUAUAUUUACCCACAAACGAAACAAGUUAACCACAACAUGUUUAGUCCAGCGUGGAAUCAUGAAGCAGUCAACAAAUUUCCACUUCAGGCCAUCACUCAACGACUCAAAACAAUUGAGGCCGAGGAUUCAAAAUUUCGCAAGACAUGCCGCCAAUUUCAAGAAAAGAACGAGUUAAAAAUAUCAAAAAAAUUGGACCGCAACUUGAUCUCAUUAACCAACUACGUGGCCGUCCAUCACCUCCACAGACUACUCCUUGCGAAGUAUACGAUAAAUGGAGAAAAAAAAUUAUUAGAGGAUUUUAAACAAAGGCUGGAAUUCCAAAAACAAACAUGUAGAUGCAUUCUAUAUUAUUCUAUGGCUAUUCCAGCGAUUUUAUUUCUACCCAUCAUUGCAAGUCAUCCGACUUUCGGUGAAUCCUUAUAUGACAAGGUUAUCGCCACUCCGGCUCAUCAUAUUUUACCUUUUUGGACGAAAGACGCCAUCAUAUACGUGUUUCGAGUGAUUUUGGUUUCGUCUUUUCUUCUGUUCUUGCUGUUAUCUGACUGCAUUUCAACUGCCAAGUGGUUACGAAAGUGCCGGAAUAGAAGGUCUCGACUAUCCGCGAGAAAAUAUCAAAACGGAGAAUUGGGCGGGUUGUUUAAAUGUGCCUGGAAAUACGAUGCAAUUGUACCCACUACUAAAAUACCGGUAACCAAUAAUUAUCUGCCCAGAGCCUACAUAUCGAGUGAGGCUAGUAGUGCAGCCAUCGCUGAAAGAAGGAGGAAAUCUUGGGUACUGCAAAUGAUGGCAUCAACGACGGUACAUUACUAGUGCAAGGUCAUGUCUAUUCCCACCAUCAUCAGGAACAUAGAAUUUGACCACUUGUAUACUCCAUCCUUUCUGGAAAUCAUGGUUUUGGAACCCGCCUACUGGUUUGCAAUGUUUUUAAGAGACGUAAUGCCACCACCUGGCCCUAUGACUGAAGAGGACGAAGUAACCCAAAAACUUAUUGACGAGCGAUUAAGCAAAAGUAGAAUUAGUUACCUAUAUGACCCAGAGGAUGAUCCAGUCUCACAUCUUUUACUCUACACAUCUACCGUUGCAGUACUUGUUCUAACGUUCCCUUUAAUAUCUUACUUGUACUGCACCCUCACACGGAUACAUUUACGGAAGCCUUCGGAAAUCAUUCGAGUGCAAAAGUUCAUCGCUGAGCGUGUGUAUCCUGCCAUUUGGUUCUGCAGUUUGCUCAUUUGGGGAUGGCAAAUCAAGCUGCCACUGCUUGCAUAAUAUUUGCACCUCUGCUGGGUACAACAAAUGGAAUGCAAGGGUUUAGCAAACGAUUUAAGUUUGUCUUAAUAUGGCAAAUUUUCGCACGACUAUUCACAAUAUUUACAU